UAGCAUAUGUUAGUUGUAGGAAAGCCAACUUGAAUCGUGAAAAUCUAUGCAUGGCUGAAUUGAUCCAAGAAGUCAUUUGCGGUGAUUAUGCUUUUGUAAUUCAAACAAAGAAUCCCUUAUCGGGUAUACCUGUGAGAUACAUGCAGAGGUAAGCCUUUUUCUUUCUGUUUUAAGUAGAGUAUCGUGUAUCUCAUCUGAUUCUGUCAAUCCAAACAAAGAUUGUGAAGGGCUUGGGAGAGACUUUGGUGGGGGCAUCUCCUGGAUGGGCCAUGAGCUUCUUUGCCAAAAAAUGCAAUUUGAAGUUUCCUCUUGUGAUUCCAUAUCCUUUGUAUAUGCCUUCACUAUAUGCUCCUUUUUCCUCGAUAUGAAGGCUAGGUUAUCUUUAUCGGUUUUUAGUUAACAUGUCAGCUUACUAAAUUUAGGUGAUUAAAGAAAAUCGUAUACACAUGUUACCUUCUAAACUCAAAUAUGAAUCUGGUUUCCAGGUUACUGGUUAUCCGAGUAAGAAUAUAGGCCUCUAUAGCAAGCCUUCCAUAAUAUUCAGUUCGGACUCAAAUGGUGAAGAUCCGGAAGGAUAUGCUGGUGCUGGGCUUUAUGACAGGUCUGUUUCUGAAAUUCUGUUUUUAGAUUGGCGCAAUAGAUAAAACUGCUCUAUCUUUUUUUAUCUCCUCCGGUCUGGGGUCUCCAAAGUUGAAACUACUGAAUUUGGCUAACCAGGAAUAUCCACAACUAGAUCAUGGAGAAAUUCAUCAAUCUGUCAUGUUAUCCACAUCACUAGUGAUAAAUAUUCUCAAUUAGGUGAUGGAAUAAUUCGUUUAUAAGUCAUGCUGUCCACCAUUUUAUUUGGUGGUUAGGAACUCAAUGCAGAAUUUCUUGGGACUCGAAUGACCUCACUGCUAGUAUAAUCGUCGGUUCUGUGCAGCAGCCUUUUGUUGGCUGUGAUCAACAUUCGAGGAAAUCUCUGUUUUUAGUGGUGUGCAUGGCAACUCAUCUGUCCUCUUGUUGGGCAUCAUUCAUCAUUUAUAGCACAACUGAAUCUACUGUUUCAUUUCCACACGCUCUCAUUGAUGAAGAGGAAAAGAUUGUCCUAGACAACUCCAGUGAUCGGAAAAACCACAGAAAAUCUUUACGGUCGCCCCCGUGAUAUUGAAUGAGUGGUAAAAGAUGGAGCAGUAUACGUGGUGUAGGCAGGACCACGAAUCCAAUAUUAGGAGGCAUCUCCAGAUAUUUGGUUUAUAGCACGUUGAGAUUGUGAUAUUUUAAAAUGUUUUUUAUUUAAAAAUAUAUUAUGAUGAUAUUUUUUUAAUUUUUAAAAA